rnacentral:rRNA from 1 species
AUUGAACGCUGGCGGCAUGCCUUACACAUGCAAGUCGAACGGUAACAGGUCUUCGGAUGCUGACGAGUGGCGAACGGGUGAGUAAUACAUCGGAACGUGCCUAGUAGUGGGGGAUAACUACUCGAAAGAGUGGCUAAUACCGCAUGAGAUCUACGGAUGAAAGCAGGGGAUCGCAAGACCUUGUGCUACUAGAGCGGCCGAUGGCAGAUUAGGUAGUUGGUGGGAUAAAAGCUUACCAAGCCGACGAUCUGUAGCUGGUCUGAGCGGACGAUCAGCCACACUGGGACUGAGACACGGCCCAGACUCCUACGGGAGGCAGCAGUGGGGAAUUUUGGACAAUGGGCGAAAGCCUGAUCCAGCAAUGCCGCGUGCAGGAUGAAGGCCUUCGGGUUGUAAACUGCUUUUGUACGGAACGAAAAGCCCUGGGUUAGUACCCUGGGGUCAUGACGGUACCGUAAGAAUAAGCACCGGCUAACUACGUGCCAGCCGCCGCCGUAA